ACGGACUGGACGGGUAGCUUGUCUCCCACAGGGAAACCCCACUUCAGCAGAUAAAUGCUGGUUCUUUGUAACUCUCCGUGAUGGUGACCACUAACACGUUGAAUUCAUUUCUGUGAUUGUUUAAACUCGCAUCUCUUGUUGCGUCGGCCACUUUAUCGCUUUAAUCUGACAAAAGUCUCCGCUGUGAGACUAAUAAAGGCUUAUCUUUGUCAGGCAUUCCCCAUUGGAACAGACCCAAACGCAGAUCGAGUAAGGUGAAUAACAAAGGAUUUAUUUUCUUAGAGGCAAAUGCGGAAAAAUACUAGGAACAGGGUGGUGAGGGCGGUCCAGAAUCCCAGGAAUUACAGUUUGUGUACUACAUUCAGUCAUGCAAGAAGGAUUUUUUACGGGAUAUCUGCCACAGUCUACAAUCCUUUGCACAGCAGAUAUGAGGCAGAGGGCUCAAGCUGCAUGUAAACCGAAAGUAGUACGAAGCCCCAGUUGGAUACUGCAUGGAACAACAAGUACUUUGUGAGGAGCAGGCAGUUUGGCCUAAAGGUAAAUGAUUUGGCACGCAGCUUCAGACUGACAUGUGGGUAAGUUGUCCUGCCCCAACAAGUUCAACCAGAUGAGGAAACUGGAGUGAAGAGUAAAAUCUGGUCAUACUCUGUUACCUUAGUGAAUGUUUUUAAUCAAUAUAAACUCUUCACAACAUUUGUUACAAAGGUUGCUGCUUCAUCACGGGUUCCCUACUAGUCUACAUGUAGAAGAAGACCAGACAACAAAGAGGGACGUGCACGGGUCCUCUGGUAUAAACAACAGCAUCCAGUCUGUUGU
ensembl:lncRNA